rnacentral:rRNA from 1 species
UUGAAGAGUUUGAUCAUGGCUCAGAUUGAACGCUGGCGGCAGGCCUAACACAUGCAAGUCGAACGGUAACAGGAAGCAGCUUGCUGCUUUGCUGACGAGUGGCGGACGGGUGAGUAAUGUCUGGGAAACUGCCUGAUGGAGGGGGAUAACUACUGGAAACGGUAGCUAAUACCGCAUAACGUCGCAAGACCAAAGAGGGGGACCUUCGGGCCUCUUGCCAUCAGAUGUGCCCAGAUGGGAUUAGCUUGUUGGUGGGGUAACGGCUCACCAAGGCGACGAUCCCUAGCUGGUCUGAGAGGAUGACCAGCCACACUGGAACUGAGACACGGUCCAGACUCCUACGGGAGGCAGCAGUGGGGAAUAUUGCACAAUGGGCGCAAGCCUGAUGCAGCCAUGCCGCGUGUAUGAAGAAGGCCUUCGGGUUGUAAAGUACUUUCAGCGGGGAGGAAGGUGCUGUGGUUAAUAACCGCAGCAAUUGACGUUACCCGCAGAAGAAGCACCGGCUAACUCCGUGCCAGCAGCCGCGGUAAUACGGAGGGUGCAAGCGUUAAUCGGAAUUACUGGGCGUAAAGCGCACGCAGGCGGUCUGUUAAGUCAGAUGUGAAAUCCCCGGGCUCAACCUGGGAACUGCAUCUGAUACUGGCAGGCUUGAGUCUCGUAGAGGGGGUAGAAUUCCAGGUGUAGCGGUGAAAUGCGUAGAGAUCUGGAGGAAUACCGGUGGCGAAGGCGGCCCCCUGGACGAAGACUGACGCUCAGGUGCGAAAGCGUGGGGAGCAAACAGGAUUAGAUACCCUGGUAGUCCACGCCGUAAACGAUGUCGACUUGGAGGUUGUGCCCUUGAGGCGUGGCUUCCGGAGCUAACGCGUUAAGUCGACCGCCUGGGGAGUACGGCCGCAAGGUUAAAACUCAAAUGAAUUGACGGGGGCCCGCACAAGCGGUGGAGCAUGUGGUUUAAUUCGAUGCAACGCGAAGAACCUUACCUGGUCUUGACAUCCACGGAAGUUUUCAGAGAUGAGAAUGUGCCUUCGGGAACCGUGAGACAGGUGCUGCAUGGCUGUCGUCAGCUCGUGUUGUGAAAUGUUGGGUUAAGUCCCGCAACGAGCGCAACCCUUAUCCUUUGUUGCCAGCGGUUAGGCCGGGAACUCAAAGGAGACUGCCAGUGAUAAACUGGAGGAAGGUGGGGAUGACGUCAAGUCAUCAUGGCCCUUACGACCAGGGCUACACACGUGCUACAAUGGCAUAUACAAAGAGAAGCGACCUCGCGAGAGCAAGCGGACCUCAUAAAGUAUGUCGUAGUCCGGAUUGGAGUCUGCAACUCGACUCCAUGAAGUCGGAAUCGCUAGUAAUCGUGGAUCAGAAUGCCACGGUGAAUACGUUCCCGGGCCUUGUACACACCGCCCGUCACACCAUGGGAGUGGGUUGCAAAAGAAGUAGGUAGCUUAACCUUCGGGAGGGCGCUUACCACUUUGUGAUUCAUGACUGGGGUGAAGUCGUAACAAGGUAACCGUAGGGGAACCUGCGGUUGGAUCACCUCCUU